rnacentral:rRNA from 1 species
CCUACGGGAGGCAGCAGUGGGGAAUAUUGGGCAAUGGAGGCAACUCUGACCCAGCAACGCCGCGUGAGUGAUGAAGGUCUUCGGAUUGUAAAACUCUUUAAGUGGGGACGAAGAAAGUGACUGUACCCACAGAAUAAGCCUCGGCUAACUACGUGCCAGCAGCCGCGGUAAUACGUAGGAGGCAAGCGUUAUCCGGAAUGACUGGGCGUAAAGGGUGCGUAGGUGGUUUGACAAGUUAGUAGCGUAAUUCCGGGGCUCAACUUCGGAACUACUACUAAAACUGUUGGGCUUGAGUGCAGGAGAGGUGAAUGGAAUUCCUAGUGUAGCGGUGGAAUGCGUAGAUAUUAGGAGGAACACCAGCGGCGAAAGCGAUUCACUGGACUGUAACUGACACUGAGGC